rnacentral:lncRNA from 1 species
UAAUUUAUAAGUUUUACAAAGGAUUUUGAGAGUCUUUGUUGAACCCUCUAAAUCAGGGAUGAUAAAAAGUUAGAUAUAAUGUUCUUACAUAUACCUUGUUAAUGUUGAUUAUGUAAUACGACUAUCAUAAUUUUUCUUUUAUCUUACACUUAAUACAUUGCAACAUCAAAUUUAAAACAAGAUUGUAAUAUUAAAUAUAUGUGCCAGCCAUAUGCUGGUAAUCCUAGUGACUCGGGAAGCUGAGGCAGUAGGAUCACAAGUUUGAGACUAGCCUCAGCAACUCAGUGAGGUCUUCUGCUGACCCUGUGUCAAAAUAAAAAAUAAAAAAGGGAUGGAGAUAUAGUACAGUGGUAAAACACCCUGGGUUCACUCUCCAGUAUUUAAAAAAAGGAUAAUAUUUAAUUUAUAAUUUGUAAGGGAUUCUGACAUCCUGACAUUGAUCCUUCUAUCAGUAUUUAAUUUUUCUUAAUUAAGUAUAUUGUUUUUGAUUUCUUCUUAUUGCAUAUCAUAUUACUCACUAUCUAUUCUCUCAUUUAUCUAAAUUUCAUUUGGUUAAAAUUACCCUAUUCCCAUAAUUUUAAGAAUUAUGAAGAUUUAUGAAGCUUAUUACAUAAAAAGUAGCUUCUAGCCUUAGUCCUUCCCCAGCUUUUCUGGAGGUGAUCAUUUUAAAUGUUUUAUCUGAUUUCUUGGUAUUUAUAUUAAUAACAUGUUUACUUUGCUACUUAAUGAUUUUUUAAAUAAAAAAUUUGAUAUGAUAAUUAUAUAUAUUUAUGGACACAGUGUGAUGAUUAUAUAUAUAUAUAUAUAUAUAUAUAUAUAUAUAACGAUCAAGUCAGGUAAUUAAGUUUUCAAUCUUCCUAACACUUAUGAUUUCUUUGUUUUGGCAACCUCCAAGAACUUAAAUGUUAUUUUUUAGAAUUUUGAGCAGGCAUAGUAAACUUCCUACUUAAAAGAAUAAGGAUUUAGCUCUGUUUCAUUUUUCUGUGUCCCCAACAUACUCAAUUUCCCCAUAUUUAUCCACCCAUCCAAUAUAUUUAUUUAUAUAUAUGUAUACAUAUAUAUAAAUUUAUUUAAUUUUAAAUUCAGAAUUUAUAUUAACAAAUCUAUAUAAACACUAUUCACACCUGACCCAUAUAGUAUCAUAUCAUUACUUUGUUCUUCUGUGCAACAUUUGUUCCUUCUUUAAUAGUUGUCAUUUAUAUAUUUGGUUGGUUUUUUAAAAGUGUAUUUAUUAUUGACUUGACCCCAAACGUUGCCAGAUGAGUUAAAAAUCCUCUUCAUAAUUUUGACUGCACCUGGUUUUCUAUCAGUUUUGUGCUCUUGAAAAAAUUUUCCUUAGAGUACUCUGAAAGGUGUAGAGACCAACAAAUAGCAUAUUGGAAAACUGAAAUGGAUUUUUUUGAUCUCUACAUCUUGUGUACAACUGUCAUCCUGGGGUCUCCUUUACUCACAUUUUGGAGACUCUUUUUACUUCUGUAUCAGAUUCUUUUCUCACAUUUGUCUGAUAGUUUGGCAUGGGAUUUUAGAUUGGAAAUAGUUUUUUUUCUACGAAGCUUGGAUUUUCUGGUUUCCUUUUUUCUUUUUCUUUCUUCUUCCCUCAGUCCCCACCCCCCUCACUUUCUUCCUUUCCUCCUUUUAUUAGUACUGGAAAUUAAACCCAGGGCACUUUACUACUGAGCUACAUCUCUAGUCCCUUUUUUUUUUUUUUUUGAGACAGGGUCUUGCUAAAUUGCUGAGGCUGUCCUUAAACUUGUGAUUCUCUUGCCUCAGCUACUCAGGAGCUGGAAUUAUAGGCGUGGACCACCAUACCCAGUGGAUUUUCUAGAUUUCCAUGUUGCUGUUGAAAUCUUAAAUUCAUCUAAUUCUUGACCCUUCUGUUGUACCUGAUUUUUCUCUUUCAAGUUUAUGGAAUAUUUUCUUUUCAUUAAUUGUACUAAAUUUUUAGUAAUGCGUACCUUGAAAUAUGUUUCCUUGUAACUGUGUGCUGUGUAUGUGUUCUUUGAUUCUGGAAAAUAAAAAAUGUCAUUUAGU